rnacentral:rRNA from 1 species
GAGAGUUUGAUCCUGGCUCAGGACGAACGCUGGCGGCGUGCUUAACACAUGCAAGUCGAACGGAAAGGCCCUGCUUUUGUGGGGUGCUCGAGUGGCGAACGGGUGAGUAACACGUGAGUAACCUGCCCUUGACUUUGGGAUAACUUCAGGAAACUGGGGCUAAUACCGGAUAGGAGCUCCUGCUGCAUGGUGGGGGUUGGAAAGUUUCGGCGGUUGGGGAUGGACUCGCGGCUUAUCAGCUUGUUGGUGGGGUAGUGGCUUACCAAGGCUUUGACGGGUAGCCGGCCUGAGAGGGUGACCGGCCACAUUGGGACUGAGAUACGGCCCAGACUCCUACGGGAGGCAGCAGUGGGGAAUAUUGCACAAUGGGCGGAAGCCUGAUGCAGCAACGCCGCGUGCGGGAUGACGGCCUUCGGGUUGUAAACCGCUUUCGCCUGUGACGAAGCGUGAGUGACGGUAAUGGGUAAAGAAGCACCGGCUAACUACGUGCCAGCAGCCGCGGUGAUACGUAGGGUGCGAGCGUUGUCCGGAUUUAUUGGGCGUAAAGGGCUCGUAGGUGGUUGAUCGCGUCGGAAGUGUAAUCUUGGGGCUUAACCCUGAGCGUGCUUUCGAUACGGGUUGACUUGAGGAAGGUAGGGGAGAAUGGAAUUCCUGGUGGAGCGGUGGAAUGCGCAGAUAUCAGGAGGAACACCAGUGGCGAAGGCGGUUCUCUGGGCCUUUCCUGACGCUGAGGAGCGAAAGCGUGGGGGAGCGAACAGGCUUAGAUACCCCUGGUAGUCCACGCUGUAAACCGGUGGGUACUAGGUGUGGGGUCCAUUCCACGGGUUCCGUGCCGUAGCUAACGCUUUAAGUACCCCGCCUGGGGAGUACGGCCGCAAGGCUAAAACUCAAAGGAAUUGACGGGGCCCCGCACAAGCGGCGGAGCAUGCGGAUUAAUUCGAUGCAACGCGUAGAACCUUACCUGGGUUUGACAUGGAUCGGGAGUGCUCAGAGAUGGGUGUGCCUCUUUUGGGGUCGGUUCACAGGUGGUGCAUGGCUGUCGUCAGCUCGUGUCGUGAGAUGUUGGGUUAAGUCCCGCAACGAGCGCAACCCUUGUUCACUGUUGCCAGCACGUUAUGGUGGGGACUCAGUGGAGACCGCCGGGGUCAACUCGGAGGAAGGUGGGGAUGACGUCAAGUCACCAUGCCCCUUAUGUCCAGGGCUUCACGCAUGCUACAAUGGCUGGUACAGAGAGUGGCGAGCCUGUGAGGGUGAGCGAAUCUCGGAAGGCCGGUCUCAGUUCGGAUUGGGGUCUGCAACUCGACCUCAUGAAGUCGGAGUCGCUAGUAAUCGCAGAUCAGCAACGCUGCGGUGAAUACGUUCCCGGGGCUUGUACACACCGCCCGUCAAGUCAUGAAAGUUGGUAACACCCGAAGCCGGUGGCCUAACCGUUGUGGGGGAGCCGUCGAAGGUGGGACUGGUGAUUAGGACUAAGUCGUAAUCAAGGUAGCCGUAG